rnacentral:rRNA from 1 species
AUUGAACGCUGGCGGCAGGCCUAACACAUGCAAGUCGAACGAGUGGCGGACGGGUGAGUAAUGUCUGGGAAACUGCCAGAUGGAGGGGGAUAACUACUGGAAACGGUAGCUAAUACCGCAUACCAUCGGAUGUGCCCAGAUGGGAUUAGCUAGUAGGUGGGGUAACGGCUCACCUAGGCGAUGAUCCCUAGCUGGUCUGAGAGGAUGACCAGCCACAAUGGAACUGAGACACUGUCGAGACUCCUACGGGAGGCAGCAUUGGGGAAUAGUGCACAAUGGGCGCAAGCCUGAUGCAGCCAUGACGCGUGUAUGAAGAAGGCCUUAGGGUGGUAAAGGACUUUCAGAGAGGAGGCGUUACUCGCAGAAGAAGCACCGGCUAACUCCGUGCCAGCAGCCGCGGUAAUAC